AUGUUGGGGCUGGUGUCUUGGCCUGGACCAACCUGCCUGAGCCCAGCAUUCCCACCCACUGCUGCGAACAGCCAUGGGGUUUGUGUCAGUGCCCUGGUUCCCUUCCUGGCGUCAGUCCCCAGCACAGAGGUGACACUGGGGUGUGAGUGUACAGCCAGGAGGAUCAGUGGGGCUUUCCGGGGUGGUGCCACUGUUUGCAUUGCCAAGGCAAAGUUUUCUUCUUCUUUUUCUUUUUCUUUUCUUUUUCUUUUUCUUUUUCUUUUUCUUUUUCUUUUUCUUUUUCUUUUUCUUUUUCUUUUUCUUUUUCUUUUUCUUUUUCUUUUUCUUUUUCCUUUUCUUUUUCCUUUUCUUUUUCUUUUUUUCUUUUUCAUUCUUCACUUUUCCUUUUCCUCUUUCUCUUUCUCUUUUUCUUUUUUUUUCUUUUUCUUCUUCACUUUUCAUUUUCCUCUUUCUCUUUCUCUUUCUCUUUCUCUUUCUCUUUCUCUUUCUCUUUCUCUUUCUCUUUCUCUAUCUCUAUCUCUAUCUCUAUCUCUUUCUUUUCCUUUCUUUCCUUCUUUCCUUCUUUUUCCUUCUCUCUCUCUUUCUUUCUUUCUGUUUCCUUUUCUCUCUCUCUCUCUUUCUUCCUUUCCUUUUUUCCUUCUUUUUCGUCUUUCUCCCUGUUCCUUUUCUUCCUCCCUUUCUCAUCUUUCUCUCUCCCCUCUGCCACUGUCCCACAUCUGCCCGUUGUUCCUUCUCCAUUCCCUUUCCCUCUCACCCUUCCUUCCUCUUUCUCUCUCCCUCUCUCCCCCCAUCUCCCUCUGCUUCUCCUUUCCCCCCUCUCCUCUCUUCCUCCCCAUCCCUCGCCCUCCGGCUCCUCUCCCGCAGCACAGCUCCGGCUCCCACGGGCAGCCGGUGCCGGUGCGGUGCUGGACGGGCGGUGCAGAGCCCCCGGUGCCCCCUGGGGGGCAGCACACGCCGCGCAGUGCUCCCGCCGGGCAGGUGAGCGCCCGCCGGCACCGGGCAGCGCCGAGCACCGGCACCGGGCAGCGCCGGCACCGGGCGGCGGGGCCGGGCCGGGGGGAGCCGGGCUGGGAAAAUUCCCCGACGGGAGGCACCGACGGGGCUGAGGCUCUCGGCUCCGGGACAAAAAGGCAAAGAAAAACCGGCAGCAAAACCGGGGGGCCGCUGAACUCGGGCAAACGGCGCUACCGGAGCCCCGGAGGGGGGAGAAAAGAAAAAAAGGCCAUGCCCGGGGGGCGAGUGCUUGCCCCUGCCUGGUGCCUGCAGGGAUUCCUCUCUGCUCUCCUCUUUCGGAAGCAUUUUUUUUCAUAA
rnacentral:lncRNA from 1 species